UGAGUCCCGACUGAAUUAGGGUUAAGGUGAACUCGUCAAACCCAACAUCAGUCAUAUGAAUCAAUCGAUCGAUCCAAAUCUGAUGUGAAACCUCAAUGGAAAACUCUUUUCCAUUAUUUCACUCUGCCAUGGCCAUGGGCUUAAGGACUCAAUCUUUCGAUCAUUAUAGGACUACUCCUCUUAUCUACCGAGGUUGAUAGAUCCCAUCUUGGUGCAAUCUGGUUCCUACAAUGAAUAUGCUACAGCCAACAUACACCUCAGGAUUUUGAAUGGCUAGG
rnacentral:lncRNA from 1 species